rnacentral:misc_RNA from 1 species
UAUAUUUAUUUUUUUUUAUUUUUUUUGCGCUUUAAGCGCAAAAGGCCCUUGCUUCACUAAAUGUGCUUAGCUUAGCAUGUGUAAAAGCACUUUCCUAUUUGUCGCUACAGUUUUACUCUUUUUGCCCUUUUCGCUACACUGCUUCAAACAUGCACCUAGCUUAUUUUCUAAAUGAUUAGAAUCUAUCUUCAACUUCAAGGUCCGUCGGUGCAUACAUUUUCACAUUUACACAUGUGAGCAGCUUCAUGUAUCCCAAGUAUGCAUGAGAAGUUUGCAUUGACGUUUUUUUAUAUUAAAACUAGGAGGGAUGAGAUCAAUUGCAACAGUGAUUAUUUUUGGACCAUAAAGAAUUAAUUUAACAGGAAGAAUUUCACCAAAGGGGAACCAUUAUGCAAAUUACUUCUUUAUAAAGGAUUCAA